UCUCUCAUAGCUCAGUCGGUAAAGAAUCUGCCUGCAAUGCAGGAGACCUGGGUUUGAUUCCUGGUUCAGGAA
rnacentral:tRNA from 1 species